rnacentral:misc_RNA from 1 species
GCCCACAGUACCAUCCAGGAAUGUUGGCUGCUGCCAUAUAGUCAGCAUAAAGGGAAGCUAAGAAGGCGGAGUUAGCAGCAUACUGUAGAGGUUGCGGCCGGCCAUGGUUCAGCUGAAUCAACCCACCCUUGGUAAAGUUGAAGACAUUGAAGCGCUCGAAAUUCGAGCAAAGGCUGAUACUCGUAGCAUUCUGGUAUCCCUGUAGCGUCUCCUCAGCAGGGUACCCUGGGUUCAAGAACAUCCUAUACCUCGCCAGCAGUAGCUCGGCU